CUGAUAGAAAGAUGGGACACCAGCAGCUCUAUUGGAGCCACUCGCAAAAAUUCGGCCAGAGUUCUCGCUCUUGCCGCGUCUGUUCAAACCGGCACGGUCUGAUCUGGAAAUACGGCCUCAAUAUGUGCGGCCAGUGCUUCCUCCAGUACGCAAAGGACAUUGGGUUCAUCAAGUUGGACUAAGUAAUCUUCCUUGAAUGGAUUACCCAGGGGGACUCAAUGAAAGAAACCAUGCUAUGCUAACUUACACAUAUGGCCAAUUCAUGUACAUUAAAUAAAGUUAAA